AUCUACCACUGCUAAUCUAUACCGCUGUCAAUCUAUCUACCACUGCUAAUCUAUACCACUGUCAAUCUAUCUAUCACUGCUAAUCUAUCACUGCUGCUAAUCUAUCUACCACUGUCAAUCUAUCUAUCACUGUCAAUCUAUCUACCACUGUUAAUCUAUUGCUGCUAAUCUAUCACUGCUAAUCUAUUGCUGCUAAUCUAUUACUGCUAAUCUAUCACUACUAAUCUAUCACUGCUAAUCUAUCACUGCUGUCAAUCUAUCUAUCACUGUCAAUCUAUCUACUGCUGCUAAUCUAUUACUGCUGUCAAUCUAUCUAUCACUGCUAAUCUAUCACUGCUAAUCUAUUGCUGCUAAUCUAUUGCUGCUAAUCUAUCACUGCUAAUCUAUUGCUGCUAAUCUAUCUAUCACUGCUAAUCUAUUGCUGUCAAUCUAUCUACCACUGUCAAUCUAUCUACCACUGCCAAUCUAUCUACUACUGCCA
rnacentral:sRNA from 2 species